AUUUGACGAUAUUUUAACUACAAAAUGGAAACACUGCAGCUACUACUAUUUUUGUUUUUUUCUCCUGCACCAAACAAGAAUAUAUUACCUUUAGUGUCUGGGAUAAUGUAUUGUUAUCUUCCAAUUCUUUGUUGAAUUUGUGACCAAGGAAUGUGAAAGUACCCUUUGCCUUCAAUAACUUUUCUUUUGUCCAACGUUCUAGAAUAGUCCUCAUAUACUCAAAUAGAUCAAAUAUUGG
rnacentral:lncRNA from 1 species